GAUGAACGCUGGCGGCGUGCUUAACACAUGCCAGUCGAACGAUGAAGCCCAGCUUGCUGGGUGGAUUAGUGGCGAACGGGUGAGUAACACGUGAGUAACCUGCCCUUAACUCUGGGAUAAGCCUGGGAAACUGGGUCUAAUACCGGAUAGGAGCGUCCACCGCAUGGUGGGUGUUGGAAAGAUUUAUCGUUUUUGGAUGGACUCGCGGCCUAUCAGCUUGUUGGUGAGGUAAUGGCUCACCAAGGCGACGACGGGUAGCCGGCCUGAGAGGGUGACCGGCCCCGCGGGGACGGGGACACGGCCCAGACUCGUACGGGAGGGAGCAGUGGGGAAUAGUGCACAAGGGGCGGAAGCCAGAUGCAGCGACGCCGCGUGGGGGAAGACGGCCUUCGGGUAGUAAACCACUUUCAGUAGGGAAGAAGCGAAAGUGACGGUACCGGCAGAAGAAGCACCGGCGAACUACGU
rnacentral:rRNA from 1 species